AAUGAGUCAGUAAAUAAAUGACACAGCGGAUAGAGCCCUGACUCUGGACCUGAGUCCAAAUCCCACCUCUGACCCUUACUGACUGGGACUUUGGCACGGCUCCUCCUGACCCUCAUAGAAAAUGAGGCCAUUGGACUACAUGAUCUCUGAGGUCUCAUUCCAUAAGGCAGCUAGGUAGAACAGCACAGAGAGUGUGGAAUCAGGAAACCCAGCAUUCACACCUGGCCACAGACACUUGUGACUCUAUGUGACUUGUGACACAAUGGGACUCUAGGCAAGUCUCAGUUUCCUCACCUACAAAAUGAGGAUCAUCAUAACAGCCCGUUUCCCAGACUUGUUGUGAGAUGGCAGAACCAGUUGUUAAACAUUCACCAGCCCAGUGCAGUUACUGAGGAUCUGUGUCACGUAGAAGUCAUGGUUGGAGUUGGGGGUGCCGAGUGAACCCUCCACGUAAUUAGAUCUGGUUACAUCCAUCUCUGCUCAAAAAUCCUCACUGCUUCCUUAUUGCUUAUCCAAUGAAGUUCAGAAUUUUUUCACCUGGUAUUCAAGGCCCUCUAGAAUCUUUCACCCUUUUGCCUUGCCAGAUUUAUCUCGUAUUAUUCCCCUCCAUAUACUCUAGGCUCCAGCCAAAUUAGACUCCUCAGGGGCUGCUUUGUGGUGCAGCCCUGGAGUCAGGAAGACCUGAGUUCAAAUAUGACCUCAGACACUUA